GGGCCCGCACAAGCGGCGGAGCAUGCGGAUUAAUUCGAUGCAACGCGAAGAACCUUACCAGGGUUUGACAUCCUGCGAAUCUCUUGGAAACAGGAGAGUGCCUUCGGGAACGCAGUGACAGGUGGUGCAUGGCUGUCGUCAGCUCGUGUCGUGAGAUGUUGGUUAAGUCCCGCAACGAGCGCAACCCACGUCUUUAGUUGCCAGCAUUUAGUUGGGCACUCUAGCGAGACCGCCGGUGAUAAACCGGAGGAAGGUGUGGAUGACGUCAAGUCAUCAUGCCCCUUACAUCCUGGGCUACACACGUACUACAAUGCUACGGACAAAGGGCAGCAAACUCGCGAGAGCUAG
rnacentral:rRNA from 1 species